UCAGCUCUGCACUGCCUGUGGAAACCAGCCUUUCUGCUCUUUAUCCACCUCACACUUUACAACCCUCCCACAAACAAGCGGACACAAACUCAUUAAAACAGCUGGUACUCACUUCCCCAGCUCCUCGUAUAGCUGAUACUCGUCUGUGAAUCGCGUACAGGUUGUCGUGGCCAUGUCGCUCCCCUGUCUCUCGCUGCUUCUACUUUGACAGCUCCGGGGGAAAAAAAAAAAAAAACUGCGGUUACAAGGCGCUAAAUGUGCGUUUGAAAAACAGGUCCGCCCAGCAGCUAGACGGCCGGAGGAGCGGUGAAGUGCCUUGUUGCAGGCGCCGAGAGAAGGAGGGUUCGAUACGGACAAGACGAAGCGACCAGGCUUCACUGCUCAGCUGCGGUGGAGGAAUCGCUCUCUGGUGGACACACCGCGCAACGGCAAAGCGCGGCAACGCAAUCGAACACACCUCCCGGCUGCACGGGGUCGAAGCAAACCCAACAACCUAGAAGAGUGUUUACAGCCAACCAACCAAACUGUAAAAAAACACAGGAUUAACACAAAAACACAUGUUGUCACUGUUUUUGUCAUUUAACUGUUCACAUUAUUGUCUAAAUGUUGUUUCAAAUCCUCCUCUACACUUGUCAACACGUAUGCAAUGCUGGAAG